rnacentral:rRNA from 1 species
GAUCCUGGCUCAGAGCGAACGCUAGCGGCGGGCUUAACACAUGCAAGUCGAGCGGAGAGCUUCGGCUCUCAGCGGCGAACGGGUGAGUAACACGUAGGUCACGUACCCUUUGAUGGGGGAUAACCUAGGGAAACCUGGGCUAAUACCGCAUAUGUUCUUCGGGAUGAAAGCCUCACGGCGUCAGGGGAUCGGCCUGCGGCCCAUUAUUUAAUCCUAGUUGGUAGGGUAACGGCCUACCAAGGGUACGAUGGGUAGCUGGUCUGAGAGGAUGAUCAGCCACACUGGAACUGAGACACGGUUCAGACUCCUACGGGAGGCAGCAGUGGGGAAUAUUGGACAAUGGGCGAAAGCCUGAUCCAGCCACGCCGCGUGGGUGAUGAAGGCCUUCGGGUUGUAAAGCCCUGUCGGGAGGGACGAAUACUGACGGUACCUCCCAAGAAAGCACCGGCUAACUCCGUGCCAGCAGCCGCGGUAAUACGGAGGGUGCAAGCGUUGCUC